UACGAAGGGGGCUAGCGUUGUUCGGAAUUACUGGGCGUAAAGGGCGCGUAGGCGGUGUGUCAAGGCAGGCGUGAAAGCCCCGGGCUCAACCUGGGAACCGCGCUUGAGACUGGCACGCUCGAGUUCGGGAGAGGAUGGUGGAAUUCCCAGUGUAGAGGUGAAAUUCGUAGAUAUUGGGAAGAACACCGAUGGCGAAGGCAGCCAUCUGGACCGACACUGACGCUCAUGCACGAAAGCGUGGGGAGCAAACAGG
rnacentral:rRNA from 1 species